GAUGAACGCUGGCGGCGUGCCUAAUACAUGCAAGUCGAGCGAACAGACGAGGAGCUUGCUCCUCUGACGUUAGCGGCGGACGGGUGAGUAACACGUGGAUAACCUACCUAUAAGACUGGGAUAAUUUCGGGAAACCGGAGCUAAUACCGGAUAAUAUAUUGAACCGCAUGGUUCAAUAGUGAAAGACGGUUUUGCGGUCACUUAUAGAUGGAUCCGCGCCGCAUUAGCUAGUUGUGAAGGUCAAGGCUUACCAAGGCAACGAUGCGUAGCCGACCUGAGAGGCUGAUCGGCCACACUAGAACUGAGACACGGUCCAGACUCCUACGGGACGCAGCAGUAUGGAAUCGUCCGCAAUGGGCGGAAGCUUGACGGAGCAACGCCGCGUCAGUUAUGAAGGUCUUCGGAUCGUAAAACUCUGUUAUUAGGUAAAAACAAAUGUGUAAGUAACUAUGCACGUCUUGACGGUACCUAGUCAGAAAGCCACGGCUAACUACGUG
rnacentral:rRNA from 1 species